rnacentral:rRNA from 1 species
CCUACGGGAGGCAGCAGUGAGGAAUAUUGGUCAAUGGGCGCGAGCCUGAACCAGCCAAGUCGCGUGAGGGAAGACGGCCCUACGGGUUGUAAACCUCUUUUGCCGGGGAGCAACGGGCGCCACGUGUGGCGCCACUGAGAGUACCCGGAGAAAAAGCAUCGGCUAACACCGUGCCAGCAGCCGCGGUAAUACGGAGGAUGCGAGCGUUAUCCGGAUUUAUUGGGUUUAAAGGGGGCGUAGGCGGAGCGUUAAGUCAGUGGUAAAAGUGAGGGGCUCAACCCCGUCCCGCAGUUGAAACUGGCGCUCUUGAGUGGAAGAGAAGUAUGCGGAAUGCGUGGUGUAGCGGUGAAAUGCAUAGAUAUCACGCAGAACCCCGAUUGCGAAGGCAGCAUGCCGGCUUCCUACUGACGCUGAAGCACGAAAGCGUGGGGAUCGAACAGGAUUAGAUACCCGUGUAGUC